GACAGAGGGGGCGAAGCGUUGCUCGGAAUUGACUGGGCGUAAAGGGCGCGUAGGCGGGAGUGGCAAGUCGGUCGUGAAAUCCUUCGGCUCAACCGAAGAACGUCGAUCGAUACUGCUGUUCUUGAGGGUUGCAGAGGAGACUGGAAUUCCCGGGUGUAGCGGUGAAAUGUGUAGAGAUCGGGAGGAACACCGGUGGCGAAGGCGGG
rnacentral:rRNA from 1 species